AUUGAACGCUGGCGGCAGGCCUAACACAUGCAAGUCGAGCGGAUGAAGGGAGCUUGCUCCUGGAUUCAGCGGCGGACGGGUGAGUAAUGCCUAGGAAUCUGCCUGGUAGUGGGGGAUAACGUCCGGAAACGGGCGCUAAUACCGCAUACGUCCUGAGGGAGAAAGUGGGGGAUCUUCGGACCUCACGCUAUCAGAUGAGCCUAGGUCGGAUUAGCUAGUUGGUGGGGUAAAGGCCUACCAAGGCGACGAUCCGUAACUGGUCUGAGAGGAUGAUCAGUCACACUGGAACUGAGACCCGGUCCAGACUCCUACGGGAGGCAGAAGUGGGGAAUAUUGGACAAUGGGCGAAAGCCUGACCCAGCCAUCCCGCGUGGGUGAAGAAGGUCUUCGGAUUGUAAAGCACUUUAGUUGGGAAAGAAGAGAAGAAAGUUAAUACCUUGCUGUUUUGACGUUACCAAAAGAAUAACCACCGGCUAACUUCGUG
rnacentral:rRNA from 1 species